rnacentral:rRNA from 1 species
GACGAACGCUGGCGGCGUGCUUAACACAUGCAAGUCGAACGGGAAGUGCCCAGCUUGCUGGGUGACUCGAGUGGCGAACGGGUGAGUAACACGUGGGUGAUCUGCCCUGCACUUUGGGAUAAGCCUGGGAAACUGGGUCUAAUACCGAAUACACCCUGCUGGUCGCAUGGCCUGGUGGGGGAAAGCUUUUGCGGUGUGGGAUGGGCCCGCGGCCUAUCAGCUUGUUGGUGGGGUGAUGGCCUACCAAGGCGACGAUGGGUAGCCGGCCUGAGAGGGUGGCCGACCACACUGGGACUGGGGUACGGACCAGCCUCCUACGGGAGGCAGCAGUGUGAAAGAUUGCACAAUGGGAGCAAGCCUGAUGCAGCGACGCCGCGUGAGGGAUGACGGCCUUCGGGUUGUAAACCUCUUUCAAUAGGGACGAAGCGUGAGUGACGGUACCUAUAGAAGAAGCACCGGCCAACUACGUGCCAGCAGCCGCGGUAAAAC